UUUUCUUGGGACUUUGUCAGACUGCACAGAGCGGAUUAAAAAUUUUGAAGGAAAUUUGGAAGAUGCUUCCAAUUUCGGAAAUAGGGCCAAAGCACAACGAUGGGAGCUAUGUUCCCUAGUUCGCUUUGCAAAAAGUUGGUGGGUUCUUGUAGCGACCCCGCUUAACCAGUACUUCAUCGUCCUCAUCCGAUAAGACUAGAACACGAAUCAUUUUGAGAUAUCAUGUCAAGGGCAGCACAUAAUCUUCAAUCAUUAAAAGACCUUGAGCGAUUUUGGGCUUGAACCCUCGAGCUGAUAAGAAAUCAAAUUCUUACUGCACAAGUUGAAUCUAGCUUGAUGCGUAGGUAUGACGAGGAAACGCGCUUAAAUAGAUUGAAAGCCGGACAGGGAUCGCUUAUUGGCCUUCCCUAAGAUAAGGCCGCUUGGAAAGAAAGUUUCUCUCCUAAAUCAGCCUAUGGUCAGUUCUCCCGACCGGGAACUUGCUGAGAUCCUUCAAAGUUGCGAAAAUGGCCGUCAGCCUUUAUGUUUGUGUGGACAUCAAAGACGAGAAAAGUAUGCUUAAGAAACCAUAUGCAUAGACUUACACCGGGGCAACAAAUGGUUAAACAACCAUAGAUAUAUACUCCAAGAACAAUUGACCAUCGGCAAACACGUGUCACUUCAGACCAUAUCCAGUUAAUCGUUGAUGACAUAGCUAUAGACCAACACUGGAGGGAUUUGGGCGUUAAGUUGAGACUAUCAACACCAGAGAUCGACAAUAUCGAUGCUGACUGCGAGUCUCCCCGCGAAAAAGCUUGGAAGGUGUGCCAAAAGUGGAGAAAGAGUAAAGCAAGCGGAGCCACGUUGGGAGUUCUUACAGAUGCUCUUGACAACAUAGGAAAAAAAAGUUCUUCGCGUAAACUGUUAGGUGGCGUGAAUUCAAACGUUAACAAAGGAGGUGAAAGACGACGUGGACAAAGGAAGAAACAGAGACAACACGUAGCAAAGAGAAAACAAUUGAAAUAACAGUAAUUACGUGGGGAGUAAAAUAAAUGAGGAGUUAGAUGGACAUCAUGUUUAUGUCAUGUAGAUUAAAAAGUCAAUUACUUGAUUUUUUUUCCCUCACAGGGUUAUUAGUAAAGAGAAUUUCCAGAGUUAUAAUAUGAUGUAUAAUUUUUGAAAAAUCUAUUCUUAGAAUAAGCAGAGACGUUUUUAGAAUCAAUAAUAAAUAUUUAAUGUAAAAGGGGAUCUGAUAGUGAUCCUUGAGGCGCUCUUUAAACAUUUUUUAUGCAAUGUUGUCCUUUCCUUCAUAUUUUUGAGAUAUAAGGUAAUUAGAGGUGGAUUUUAAAAGUAUUUUUAUACCGGACGCAAGAUGGUCGAAAUAGGCCGAAAAUCAUCCGAA